UAGUGGCGAACGGGUGAGUAACACGUGGGUAAUCUGCCCUGCACUCUGGGAUAAGCCUUGGAAACGAGGUCUAAUACCGGAUAUCACCUCCUACCGCAUGGUGGGUGGUUGAAAGUUCCGGCGGUGCAGGAUGAACCCGCGGCCUAUCAGCUUGUUGGUGGGGUAAUGGCCUACCAAGGCGACGACGGGUAGCCGGCCUGAGAGGGUGACCGGCCACACUGGGACUGAGACACGGCCCAGACUCCUACGGGAGGCAGCAGUGGGGAAUAUUGCACAAUGGGCGAAAGCCUGAUGCAGCGACGCCGCGUGAGGGAUGACGGCCUUCGGGUUGUAAACCUCUUUCGCCAGGGACGAAGCGCAAGUGACGGUACCUGGAUAAGAAGCACCGGCUAACUACGUGCCAGCAGCCGCGGUAAUACGUAGGGUGCGAGCGUUGUCCGGAUUUAUUGGGCGUAAAGAGCUCGUAGGCGGUUUGUCGCGUCGGCUGUGAAAUCUGGAGGCUUAACCUUCAGCGUGCAGUCGAUACGGGCAGACUUGAGUUCGGUAGGGGAGACUGGAAUUCCU
rnacentral:rRNA from 1 species